AGUGCGCCACCGAGAGCCCCGGGCAGGGGGCCGCCCUGUGCCCUGCAGGGCCGCGGGGCCGCGUAGCUCUCUCGGUGCGGCGGGUAAGUGCUGCCCGGCGUCGGGGCGUCCCGCGCCGUCGGUCCCAGCGUGCCCGGCCGCUGCCUCCCGGGGCACCCCGCGCUGCGCGCAUCCCUCGGGCUCGGCGCCCGCCCCGGGCCCCUCCAGCCGCGGGCGCUGCCUCGGCGCCCGGGGGACGCGCCUCCGCUGCGGGAGCUGCCGGUAGGUGCCCCGCUCCCGGACCCGCUGCGAGCCACAUUUGGCCUAGCCCAGAUAGCGUUUGUACCUGGAAGGAAUGAGGGCGUAAAAGGCCUGAGGGGUGGUGGCUACAAACCCAUUAGUGUAUGAAAGCGGGCAUUCUUUCAUUCAUUCACCAAACAUUUAUUGCGCGCUUACUCCGUGCCAGAAAUUGAGAGUAUGGUAGUAAAUAAGAUGGUUAGAGAGCCUGCUCAGCUGGAAUUGGCAGUCUAGGGGGAAAUAAAAUUUUUUCGGGUAUUAAAAUACAAGAUAUUUCAAUCUUUUUUAAAAAGCAGAUUUAUUUUUCUCUUUUGAUAUACAUGUGGGUUUCUAGUUUUGCCCAUUGUUUUAGCUCCUGUAAACAUUCCUGUAAGUUUGCGUGGAUAGUUUUCCUUUAUCUUGGGUAACUAGGGAGUGGAGUUGUUCGAUCAUAUCAGUGUGUGUUUAACUUAUAAGAAACUGCCAAACGAUUUUUUUCUAAAUGGUUUUUCCAUUCUAGAUUUCCAAAAUCAGUGUAUGGUGGUUCCAGUUAUUCCAUGGCAUGGCCAACGUUGGAUAUUGUCAGUCUUUAGCGUUGGCCAUUUAAUGGGUGUUGUGGGCACAUCAUUGCAAUUUGAUUUGCAUUUGUCUGGAGAUCAAUGAUAUUGACCAUGUUUCAUGUGCUGAUUGGCCAUUUGUAUGUCUUCUUUUAUAAAGUGCCUAUUCAGUCUUUUGCUAUUUUUUAUUUAUUUUUAUUUUUAUUUUUAUGAGACGGAGUCUCGCUCUUUUUUUUUCUUUUUUUGAGAUGGAGUCUUGCUGUGUUGCCCAGGCUGGAGUGCAGUGGCGCGAUCUCGGCUCACUGCAAGCUCCGCCUCCCAGGUUCACGCCAUUCUCCUGCCUCAGCCUCCUGAGUAGCUGGGACUACAGGCGUCCGCCACCACGCCCAGCUAAUUUUUUUUGUAUUUUUAGUAGAAACGGGGUCUCACCGUGUUAUCCAGGAUGGUCUCGAUCUCUUGACCUUGUGAUCCGCCCUCCUCGGCCUUCCAAAGUACUGGGAUUACAGGCGUGAGCCACCGCGCCCGGCCAGAGUCUCGCUCUUGUUGCCCAUGCUGGACUGCAGUGGCGUGAUCUCGGCUCACUGCAACCUCCCCCUUCCAGGUUCAAGGGAUUUCCGGCUAAUUUUUGUAUUUUUAGUAGAGACGGGGUUUCACCAUGUUGGCCGGGCUGGUCUCAAACUCCAGACCUCAAGUGAUCCGCCCUCCUCAGCCUCCCAAAGUGCUGGGAUUACAGGCGUGAGCCACCGUUCCCGGCCUUUUGCUAAUUUUUUUUUUUGAGACAGAGUUUCGCUGUUAUUGCCCAGGCUGGAGUGCAAUGGCGCGAUCUCGGCUCACUGCAACCUCCGCCUCCCGGGUUCUCUCCUGCCUCAGCCUCCUGAGUAGCUGGGAUUACAGGCACCUGCCACCACGCCUAGCUAAUUUUUUGUAUUUUUAGUAGAGACGGGGUUCCUCCAUGUUGGUCAGGCUGGCGUCGAACUCCUGACCUCAAAUGAUCCGCCCUCCUUGGCCUAAAGUGCUGGGAUUACAGGCGUGAGCCACCGCACCCGGUCUUAAACUUAUAAAACAGGCAAAAACAACCUAUAGUGAUGGAAAUCAGAUCAGUAGUUGCUUGUGGCAGGGUGUAGGGAAAAGAUUGCCUGUAAAGGGACACGUGAGGGAACAUUCCAGGAUGAUAAGAAUGCCCUGUAUUUUGAUAGGAGUGGUGAUUGCAUAGGAGCAUACACUUGGUAAUACUCAUGGAACUGUACGUUAAGAUGUGUGCAUUACAUUGUAUGUGCAUUUUUGCUUCAAUAAAGUUCAUUGAAAGAAAAAGAAGGCGGGGCGCGGUGGCUCACACCUGUAAUCCCAGCACUUUGGGAGGCCGAGGCGGGCAGAUCACGAGGUCAGGAGAUCGAGACCAUCUUGGCUAACAUGGUGAACCCCGUCUCUACUAAAAAUACAAAAAAUUAGCUGAGUGUGGUGAUGCGUACUACUCGGGAGGCUGAGGCAGGAGAAUCAUUUGAACCAGGGAGUCAGAAAUUGCAGUGAGCCGGGACAGUGCCACUACACUCCGGCCUGGUGACAGAGUGAGACUGUCUCAAAAAAAAAAAAAAAAGAAAGAAACAUUUCUGUGUAACUCAGGCAGUACCCUGUAAUCAGCAACCUAACACUCCCCACGUUGUGGCACCCUCAGGGAAUGAUGAAACAGCACUUGUGGCUGGGCGCAGUGGCUCACGCUUGGAAUCCCAGCACUUUGCGAGGCUGAGGAGGGCAGAUCACGAGGUCACGAUAUCGAGACCAUCCUGGCUAACACAGGGAAACCCUGUCUCUAUUAAAAAUACAAAAAAUUAGCCAGGCGUGGUGGCGGGCACCUGUAGUCCCAGCUACUUGGGAGGCUGAGGCAGGAGAAUGGCGUGAACCCGGGAGGCGGAGGUUGCAGUGAGCUGAGAUCGUGCCACUGCACUCCAGCCUGGGCAACAGAGCGAGACUCCAUCUCAAAAAAAAAAAAAAGAAAAAAGAAAAAAAACACAGCACUUCCACAGCUUUACUUAAGAGCACUUAGAGUCCUUGGCUAGGAUGCUCUUGACUAGAUGCUCCCAGCCUUGGCUCUGGCCACCCCAAACUGUCUGAGGGCAUCGAUGCUUGCUUGGGGACAUGCUUCAGAAGCUCAGUGUACUGGUCAAAAGAGUAGAUUCUGGGCUGGGUGUGGUGGCUGAUGCCUGUAAUCCCAGCACUUUGGGAGGCUGAGGCAGGCAGAUCACUUGAGGUCAGGAGUUGGAGAACAGCCUGGCCAACGUGGUGAAAGCCCAUCUCUACUAAAAAUACAAAAUGUGGCUGGGGAUGGUGGCGGGUGCCUGUAAUCCCAGCUACUUGGGAGGCUGGGACAGGAGACUCGCUUGAGCCCUGGAGACGGAGGUUGCAGUGAGACGAGAUUGCACCACUGUAAUCCAGCCUGGACAACAGAGCAAGACUCCAUCUCAAAAAUUAAAAAAAGGCCGGGUGCUGUGUCUCAUGCCUGUAAUCCCAGCACUUUGGGAGGCCGAGGUGGCCGGAUCACGAGCUCAGGAGAUCGAGACCAUCCUGGCUAACACGGUGAAACCCCAUCUCUACUAAAAAUACAAAAAAAAUUAGCCGGGUGUGGUGGUGGGCGCCUAUAGUCCCAGCUACUCAGGAGGCUGAGGCAGGAGAAUGGCGUGAACCCGGGAGGCAGAGUUUGCAGUGAGCCAAGACCGCGCCACUGCAUUCCAGCCUGAGUGACAGAGCGAGACUCUGUCUCA
rnacentral:lncRNA from 10 species